UUUUACGAAAUUCCUUCGAAAAGCGAACGCUACACGGUUCUCGUCCGAUCACCGAAGUCAAGCAGCAUCGGGCGCGGUUAGUACUUGGAUGGGGGACCGCUUGGGAACACCGCGUGCCGUUGGCA
rnacentral:rRNA from 1 species